rnacentral:rRNA from 1 species
AAUCAACGCUGGCGGCGUGCCUAACACAUGCAAGUCGAACGAGAAAGCGGGGGCAACCCUGUGAGUAAAGUGGCAGACGGGUGAGUAACACGUGAACAACCUACCCUCGAGUGGGGAAUAACACCGCGAAAGCGGUGCUAAUACCGCAUAACAUCUUCGGAUCGCAUGAUCUGAAGAUCAAAAGCGCAAGUUGCUUGAGGAGGGGUUCGCGCCUGAUUAGCUAGUUGGUGAGGUAACGGCCCACCAAGGCAAUGAUCAGUAGCCGGCCUGAGAGGGCGAACGGCCACACUGGAACUGAGACACGGUCCAGACUCCUACGGGAGGCAGCAGUGGGGAAUUUUGCGCAAUGGGCGAAAGCCUGACGCAGCAACGCCGCGUGGAGGAUGAAGGUCCUCGGAUCGUAAACUCCUGUCAGUAGGGACGAAUGCCUCGCAAGAGGUUUGACUGUACCUGCUGAGGAAGCCACGGCUAACUCCGUGCCAGC